rnacentral:rRNA from 1 species
GGAGAUUCAUCGUCAGCGAUUUUGGUACGUGUGCGGCUCGCGAUGCCGGAGACUUCGGUUUCCAGGCACGCGUCCGCAUGUUUUUUAUUGCCUUAAACGUCGGCGUGCACUUCUCCCCUAGUAGGACGUCGCGACCCGUUGGGUGUCGGUCUACGGCCCGGGUGGUAGCCUGUCUCGUGUUCGCUUCGCGGCGUUACGCGGUUCAGACCCCCGGAUGCCCGACCGGCUGCUCGGCGGUACUCGCACGGUAUCUGGCCGCAAAUAUUCGAACUGCGUCCGGCCCGUCGCAAGCGAGGAAAGUGUUUCCCGGCUGUGCGGAUCUAAUGCCGUCACCGGGCCUUGCCAGCUGUUGGUUGACGGUGUCCUAGGACUGGCCAAUACAAUUAUGAUACCGGUCGGCGACGCUACUGCUUUGGGUACUUUCAGGACCCGUCUUGAAACACGGACCAAGGAGUCUAACAUGUGCGCGAGUCAUUGGGAACUAUUAAGCCUAAAGGCGCAAUGAAAGUGAAGGUCGGCCUUGCGCCGACCGAGGGAGGAUGGGCCGCGUCACGAUGCGGUCCCGCACUCCCGGGGCGUCUCGUUCUCAUUGCGAGAAGAGGCGCACCCAGAGCGUACACGUU